rnacentral:rRNA from 1 species
CCUACGGGUGGCAGCAGCGAGGAAUAUUGGUCAAUGGACGAGAGUCUGAACCAGCCAAGUAGCGUGAAGGAUGACUGCCCUAUGGGUUGUAAACUUCUUUUAUAUGGGAAUAAAACGUUCCACGUGUGGGAUUUUGUAUGUACCAUAUGAAUAAGGAUCGGCUAACUCCGUGCCAGCAGCCGCGGUAAUACGGAGGAUCCGAGCGUUAUCCGGAUUUAUUGGGUUUAAAGGGAGCGUAGGUGGAUUGUUAAGUCAGUUGUGAAAGUUUGCGGCUCAACCGUAAAAUUGCAGUUGAAACUGGCAGUCUUGAGUACAGUAGAGGUGGGCGGAAUUCGUGGUGUAGCGGUGAAAUGCUUAGAUAUCACGAAGAACUCCGAUUGCGAAGGCAGUUCACUGGACUGCAACUGACACUGAGGCUCGAAAGUGUGGGUAUCAAACAGGAUUAGAUACCCUUGUAGUC